UUCAUUGGCAAGUAGAUAUUUAUUAGAAUAUAGAGCCGAGGAGAAGGAGAUGGUAAAACUAGAUUUCGUGCUUUUAAAAAAAUUGCUUAUGAAAUCAAAUAAGGGUUUAGGCCAAUUGGCCAAGAUAGUGUCUUCUCCUUUUGCACUGAGUUCGAACCUCUUAUACUAAUAGCUUUUUUAUUUUAGGCUUUUUAUCACAAAUGGUCCCUGAGGUUUACGAAAUUAUCACCUUUCGUCCCUAACUUUUUAUGUGACACUAAUGGUCCUUAAGGUUAUCCUCCAUGCAUCAAAAUAGUCCUUGCCGUUAGCUUCCGUCAAAUUUUCUGUUAAAUUACUGACAUGGCACAUGUAUAGAGCCUACAGAUCCAAUGGUAUAGAGCCAC
rnacentral:lncRNA from 1 species